UACGUAGGGCGCGAGCGUUGUCCGGAUUUAUUGGGCGUAAAGAGCUCGUAGGCGGCUUGUCGCGUCGAAUGUGAAAUCUCAGGGCUCAACUCUGACAUUGCAUUCGAUACGGGCAGGCUAGAGUUCGGUAGGGGAGACUGGAAUUCCUGGUGUAGCGGUGAAAUGCGCAGAUAUCAGGAGGAACACCGGUGGCGAAGGCGGGUCUCUGGGCCGAUACUGACGCUGAGGAGCGAAAGCAUGGGGAGCGAACAGG
rnacentral:rRNA from 1 species